rnacentral:rRNA from 1 species
AACGAACGCUGGCGGCAGGCCUAACACAUGCAAGUCGAGCGCGCCCUUCGGGGUGAGCGGCGGACGGGUGAGUAACGCGUGGGAACGUGCCCUUCUCUGCGGAAUAGCCUCGGGAAACUGAGAGUAAUACCACAUACGCCCUUUGGGGGAAAGAUUUAUCGGAGAAGGAUCGGCCCGCGUUGGAUUAGGUAGUUGGUGGGGUAAUGGCCCACCAAGCCGACGAUCCAUAGCUGGUUUGAGAGGAUGAUCAGCCACACUGGGACUGAGACACGGCCCAGACUCCUACGGGAGGCAGCAGUGGGGAAUCUUAGACAAUGGGGGCAACCCUGAUCUAGCCAUGCCGCGUGAGUGAUGAAGGCCUUAGGGUUGUAAAGCUCUUUCAGCUGGGAAGAUAAUGACGGUACCAGCAGAAGAAGCCCCGGCUAACUCCGUG